GGCCUCGUAGUUCAGCUGGUAGAGCAUGCGCGUACAAAGCGUAGGCAGUGUCCAUGCGUGGGUUCGAAUCCCACCCAGGCUA
rnacentral:tRNA from 1 species